GAUCCUGGCUCAGGAUGAACGCUAGCGGCAGGCUUAACACAUGCAAGUCGAGGGGCAGCGCGGGAUAGCAAUAUCCUGGCGGCGACCGGCGGAAGGGUGCGUAACGCGUGAGCGACAUGCCCGUUGCCCGGGGGACAACCGGUGGAAACGCCGACUAAUCCCGAUGGGAUAUUGUGCCGCAUGGCACGAUAUUGAAAGUUUACGGCGGCGACGGAUUGGCUCGCGUCCGAUUAGCUUGUUGGG
rnacentral:rRNA from 1 species